rnacentral:rRNA from 1 species
GUGACCUGCCCUGGAGUGGGGGAUAACCACUGGAAACGGUGGCUAAUACCGCAUGGUUCUGUUGAGAUGGGAAUCUCGGCGGAUAAAACUCUGGUGCUCUGGGAGGGGCCUGCGGCCGAUUAGCUAGUUGGUGGGGUAAGGGCCUACCAAGGCGACGAUCGAUAGCUGGUCAGAGAGGACGAUCAGCCACACGGGAACUGAGACACGGUCCCGACUCCUACGGGGGGCAGCAGUGAGGAAUAUUGGGCAAUGGGGGGAACCCUGACCCAGCAACGCCGCGUGGAGGAUGACGGCCUUCGGGUUGUAAACUCCUUUUACGGGGGAAGAGGAAGGAUGGUACCCCGAGAAUAAGUCACGGCUAACUACGUGCCUGCAGCCGCGGUAAUACGUAGGUGACAAGCGUUAUCCGGAAUUACUGGGCGUAAAGCGCACGCAGGCGGCGUGGUAAGUCUGAUGUGAAAUCUCCCGGCUUAACUGGGAGGGGUCAUUGGAAACUGCCGUGCUCGAGGCGGUGAGAGGGGUGUAGAAUUCCCGGUGUAGUGGUGGAAUGCGUAGAUAUCGGGAGGAAUACCAGUGGCGAAAGCGGCACCCUGGCACUAGCCUGACGCUCAUGUGCGAAGGCGUGGGGAGCGAACGGGAUUAGAUACCCCGGUAGUCCACGCGGUAAACGAUGAAUACUAGGUGUGGGUGGAGUGAA